rnacentral:rRNA from 1 species
CGCGGCCUAUCAGCUUGUUGGUGAGGUAGUGGCUCACCAAGGCGACGACGGGUAGCCGGCCUGAGAGGGCGACCGGCCACACUGGAACUGAGACACGGUCCAGACUCCUACGGGAGGCAGCAGUGGGGAAUAUUGCACAAUGGGCGCAAGCCUGAUGCAGCGACGCCGCGUGGGGGAUGAAGGCCUUCGGGUUGUAAACCCCUUUCAGCAGGGAAGAAGCGAAAGUGACGGUACCUGCAGAAGAAGCGCCGGCUAACUACGUGCCAGCAGCCGCGGUAAUACGUAGGGCGCAAGCGUUGUCCGGAAUUAUUGGGCGUAAAGAGCUUGUAGGCGGUUCGUCGCGUCUGCUGUGAAAGCACGAGGCUCAACCUCGUGUCUGCAGUGGGUACGGGCGGACUAGAGUGUGGUAGGGGAGACUGGAAUUCCUGGUGUAGCGGUGAAAUGCGCAGAUAUCAGGAGGAACACCAGUGGCGAAGGCGCCGCUCUGGGCCGAAACUGACGCUGAGGAGCGAAAGCGUGAGUAGCAAACAGGAUUAGAUACCCUGGUAGUCCACGCCGUAAACGUUGGGCACUAGGUGUGGGUCUCAACCAACGAGAUCCGCGCCGUCGCUAACGCAUUAAGUGCCCCGCCUGGGGAGUACGG